rnacentral:rRNA from 1 species
UACGGGGGGAGCAAGCGUUGUUCGGAUUUACUGGGCGUAAAGGGCGCGUAGGCGGCGUGACAAGUCACUUGUGAAAUCUCCGGGCUUAACUCGGAACGGUCAAGUGAUACUGUCGUGCUAGAGUACAGAAGGGGCAACUGGAAUUCUCGGUGUAGCGGUGAAAUGCGUAGAUAUCGAGAGGAACACCAGCGGCGAAGGCGGCGCUCUGGGCCGGUACUGACGCUGAGGAGCGAAAGCGUGGGGAUCAAACAGG